rnacentral:tRNA from 1 species
GGAGAGAUGGCUGAGUCCGGUCGAAGGCACUCGACUCGAAAUCGAGCGUAGGUUUGCGCCUACCGUGGGUUCGAAUCCCACUCUCUCCGCCA